CCCCCUACCCCAACUGCCCCCACCGCAACUUCCAUCCACUCCAACUGCCUCCCCACUCCAACUGCCCCAUACCCCAACUAACCCACACUCCAACUGCCCCCCCAAGAGGUUCUGAUUCACUAACAGACAUGACCUUAAUUUUUUCUGACAACCAAGUAAGAAGCUUUGACUAACUGAACAAAAAUUUUAAACCAAAUAGUCAAAAGGCACAGAUAGUGAUCUGAAAGCCACCCUGCUUGCUCUGGGUUUCAGACUCCUGCAGGUUUGAGUCUACCUGACGUUGUAACAGCAAAAGGCACAGGUAGUGAUCUGAAAGAGCCACCCUGCUUGCUCUGGGUUUCAGACUCCUACAGGUUUGAGUCUACCUGACGUUGCAACAGGACCCUGUAGAAUACAAAGCAUUGGACAUCUGCCCACCGGUCCUUGCUCCCAUUCAAAUCGCCCUGCAGGACUCCUCUAUGAAUUCCCUCCACUCGAUCAAACUCCACAAAAGACACAUGAGGCUUGUUGGAAGGAUAGCAGAGGUGUGAAAUUGAUGUAUAAGGUGCCUAGAAUUGCAACUUGUAUUUAGUGAAUGGCAAGUGUUACCAUUAUUUCCUGUGAAGUAGACACAUGUCAAGGAAAAAUACUUCCUAAUAUUCCUCAGGAGAGAGUCCCUGCCUUUGAAGGAAAGGUCAUUUUGUCAGUUGUCAUAGUGCUGGAUUGACACUGUCUGUCCCCUAAUCCUGCCUACCCUGCAACACACUGAGAAACUCUCAGCUGUUCCUGCCUCACCUGAUCAGGACUGAGAUACAAGAUCCACCAGCAUCCGGGUGCUCAUUUGCUAUCUGCAGGGAAAGAACACAAGUCCCUGGUUCUCCUAGAGCCAAUGGAAAGUUCCUUAAGAUCAUCAUGAGCGCCUGUGAGUCACACCAAAGACUUCAGAGUUUAGUCCACUGCAAGAGGACAUGAUGGUCAAAUUUCCAUUUCAGAAAAGAAUUCUGGCAUCAUUUUACACAGGCACAUGGGAUUGGAGAGAAGAGUAAGUGGAAUACAUACGCCAUACUGUUAAAUAGUCCAGGCAAGCAAUGUGGAGAGCUGGCCCCAAGCACAGAAAGAUAACCCCGGUUUCCUCUGAAGUAGACGUUCUAGAACUCACACAUAUGAAGGAGGUGGAAGCUCUGAACUGAGACAGCUGGGUGGGGCAAAGUCACAAAGAGGAAGGAAGAAAAGGGCAGGAAGAGAAAUGAGCCAAGAGUGAAAAAUGAGUCAAGAACUCCUGUGUCCCAGACAUUGACGCAUGUCAGAAUGGCAAGGGAAGGCAAGAAGAGAGGAAGAAGGUGUGAGCAGAGGGCGCUUGUAUCCGCUCAUGUAACCCAGUAUUUAUGCAGCAACUACCAUGUGCCAGGUUCAAUGACAGCUACAAAAUAUACACCCUGGAGUGAAGAGAAAGACCCUCCCUCAUGGAAAUGCUUCAUAGAGACAAAUAGGGAUGGGUGACCAGUGACACACCUAAAGCAGUAUUUUGAAAUGUCAGCUGAAGUGAUUGAUUUGUUCUCACCUGGCAAAGAGUUGCUGGAGAAUCACCACAGAAUACACACAGCUGAAGGGAAAAGCAAGGCAUUCCCUUUGGAAGCAGUGUACUGUCACCAUCCUAUGUCCCUGCCUGGCAUGCAACCUCAGCUACAGUCUGGGGCUUUCUAAAUGCCAUCCAGAUCACAGAGUGAUGCCAUUGCAGACCUACAGCAGCUAGAGAAAAGAGGAAAAUGCAUCCACGUGCAGCCAUCCCCAGUACGUGUGAGUGGGCUUGCUGAGGUUUGGGCUUGGAGUCAUCUCACUAGGAAUCUAAGACUGCACAGAGCUCAGGUUCACGGUACCACAUGAAUGAGCUGUGGAGACCUAACUGGCUGAUCCAACUCCCAGCCUUACCACCUACCAGCAGAUGACCCUGGUUCACUUUUUUAUUAGUAAAUUUUGCUCUUUCACACAUUAAUACUAUGUAAUUUGAUCACAUUCCCCCAUCCUCUCCCAUUUCCCUCCUGUACCUACCA